AUUGAACGCUGGCGGCAUGCCUUACACAUGCAAGUCGAACGGCAGCACGGGAGCAAUCCUGGUGGCGAGUGGCGAACGGGUGAGUAAUAUAUCGGAACGUGCCCAGUCGUGGGGGAUAACGCAGCGAAAGCUGUGCUAAUACCGCAUACGAUCUAUGGAUGAAAGCGGGGGAUCGCAAGACCUCGCGCGAUUGGAGCGGCCGAUAUCAGAUUAGCUAGUUGGUGGGGUAAAGGCCCACCAAGGCGACGAUCUGUAGCUGGUCUGAGAGGACGACCAGCCGCACUGGAACGGAGACACGGUCCAGACUCCUACGGGAGGCAGCAGUGGGGAAUUUUGGACAAUGGGCGCAAGCCUGAGCCAGCAAUGCCGCGUGCAGGAUGAAGGCCUUCGGGUUGUAAACUGCUUUUGUACGGAACGAAACGGUCCUUUCUAAUACAGGGGGCUAAUGACGGUACCGUAAGAAUAAGCACCGGCUAACUACGUGCCAGCAGCCGCGGUAAAAC
rnacentral:rRNA from 1 species